rfam:Triticum aestivum genome assembly, contig: Triticum_aestivum_CS42_TGACv1_scaffold_163657_2DL
CUUGUACUCCCUCCGUCCGAAAAUACUUGUCAUUGAAAUUGAUGUAUCUAGAUGUAUUUUAGUUCUAGACACAUCCAUUUUGAUGACAAGUAAUUCCGGACGGAGGGAGUACUUG